UUUAGUUUGUUAAAGGAGAAUAUCUAAACUUAAUUUCGGAAAAGUAUUUGACGGGCAUGAAUUUCCUCUUGACUAGACAAAAUUAGUAUUUUUUUUUUUGUAUCGUAAGAAUAUAUUUUCAGUUUUUUUUUCUAUAAGCACAUAAUGCAAGUAUUUAUAUAUUUUGUUUCGAUAAUGAUGUGAAAAAGGCAUUAAAUUAAAC
rnacentral:lncRNA from 1 species